rnacentral:hammerhead_ribozyme from 1 species
GAACUGUUGAGGAGUCCCAUACCAGGACGAAACGGCCGUCCAGUGC